rnacentral:rRNA from 1 species
GCGGCGUGGAUUAGGCAUGCAAGUCGAGCGACGGUAUCCUUCGGGAUAUACGGAGCGGCGAACGGGUGAGUAACGCGUGAACAACCUGUCCCUUUGUUCCGGAUAAUUGGGAGAAAUCCCUUGUAAUACGGGCGAGGACGGUCCUUUGGCAUCUUAGGAUCGGGAAACACGAAAGUGGCAUGGGGAGGGGUUCGCGACCUAUCAGGUAGUUGGUGUGGUAACGGCACACCAAGCCAACGACGGGUAGCUGGUCUGAGAGGAUGGUCAGCCACAUUGGAACUGAGACACUGUCCAGACUCCUACGGGAGGCUGCAGUCGAGAAUCUUGGGCAAUGCACGAAAGUGUGACCCAGCGACGCCGCGUGAAGGAUGAAGGCCCUCUGGGUCGUAAACUUCUUUUAAGGGGAAAGAAUGAGGCGUAAGCCUUUUGACGGUACCCUUUGAAUAAGCCACGGCUAACUACGUGCCAGCAGCCGCGGUAAUACGUAGGUGGCAAGCGUUGUCCGGAUUUACUGGGCGUAAAGCGAACGCAGGCGGACUGUUAAGUAAGAAGUGAAAGGUUGGAGCUCAACUCUGACCCGGCUUCUUAUACUGGCAGUCUUAAGACUUGGAGAGGAAAGCGGAACGACCCGUGUAGCGGUGAAAUGCGUUUGAUAUGUGCCGAAACACCGAUGGCGAAAGCAGCUUUUUGGACAAGUACUGACGCUGAGGGUUCGAAAGCCAAGGGAGCGAACAGGAUUAGAUACCCUGGUAGUCUUGGCCAUAAACGAUGUCACCUAGGUGUCGGGGGCUUUGCUUCGGUGCCGCAGCUAACGCAAUAAGUGAACCGCCUGGGAACUACGAUCGCAAGAUUAAAACUCAAAGGAAUUGGCGGGGGCCCGCACAAGCGGUGGAGCAUAUGGCUUAAUUCGAUGCAACGCGAAGAACCUUACCAGGGCUUGACAUGCAACUGCACGACGUAGAGAUACGUUUCCUUCGAGGGUGUUGCACAGGUGGUGCAUGGCUGUCGUCAGCUCGUGUCGUGAGAUGUUGGGUUAAGUCCCGCAACGAGCGCAACCCUCACGGUCUGUUACCAGCGGAUAAUGCCGGGGACUCGGACUGAACUGCCUCUGUAAAGAGGAGGAAGGUGGGGAUGACGUCAAGUCAUCAUGCCCCUUACGCCCUGGGCUGCACAUAUGCUACAAUGGCCGGUACAAAGAGCUGCGAGCACGCGAGUGUCAGCAAAUCUCAAAAAGCCGGUCUCAGUUCGGAUUGGAGUCUGCAACUCGACUCCAUGAAGUCGGAAUCGCUAGUAAACGCCGGUCAGCAAUACGGCGUUGAAUACGUUCCCGGGCCUUGCACACACCGCCCGUCACGUGACGAAAGUCGGUCUCGCCCGAAGUCGCUGCGCUAACCGCAAGGAAGCAGGCGCCGAAGGCAGGGCUGGUAAUUGG